rnacentral:rRNA from 1 species
GAUGAACGCUAGCUACAGGCUUAACACAUGCUUUUGAUGGGCGUCGACCGGCGCACGGGUGAGUAACGCGUAUCCAACCUGCCCACCACUUGGGGAUAACCUUGCGAAAGUAAGACUAAUACCCGAUGAUAUCUCUAGACGACAUCUGAAAGGGNUUAAAGAUUUAUCGGUGAUGGAUGGGGAUGCGUCUGAUUAGCUUGUUGCGGGGUAACGGCCCACCAAGGCAACGAUCAGUAGGGGUUCUGAGAGGAAGGUCCCCCACAUUGGAACUGAGACACGGUCCAAACUCCUACGGGAGGCAGCAGUGAGGAAUAUUGGUCAAUGGGCGAGAGCCUGAACCAGCCAAGUAGCGUGCAGGACGACGGCCCUAUGGGUUGUAAACUGCUUUUAUAAGGGAAUAAAGUGAGUCUCGUGAGACUUUUUGCAUGUACCUUAUGAAUAAGGACCGGCUAAUUCCGUG